rnacentral:misc_RNA from 1 species
GGAGGGAUCAUUAACACACAAAAUGAUUGGGAGAGAGAGAUCUUUUCCAUCAAAAGUCCAUUUUGGGAUUGGUGACAUUCAUUUGUUGCCUCUCCUAAAACAACGUGCGAUGUUCAAGUCUUGUGACCAUGCAUGCCCAUUUCGGUGGCGCUUUUGCGUGAUCGCAAGCAACCAAGAACACCAUUAAAUUCAUCGUGAAGAGAUAUUAUUUUUAUCGAGCGAGAAUGAAUCGCAUCGAGGACGCUUUGAUUAGUGCUCUCUUUGUAUUUUUUCAAGCGAGAAAACAAAAUAAAAUCAAAUUUAGAGAGAACUUUUAACAACGGAUAUCUUGGUUCUCGCAACGAUGACGAGCGCAGCGAAAUGCGAUACUUAGUGUGAAUUGCAGAAUUCAGUGAAUCAUCGAGACCUUGAACGCAAAUUGCACCUGCAAUCAUUUGCAGGUACACCUGUUUGAGUGCCAACACAACCAAUCACCAAAAUCAUAAACACCGUGUGUGUGUUCACGAUGGUGAGAAUUGAGCGUCCAUAAUUCAUUUUAUGGUCGCUUGAAAUAUCGAAUCGAUUGGUCGCUAAAAAUGAGAAAGUGUCCACCAUUUAAAAUUCUUGAUUCCAAACCUGCGCGAUAGUAAUAUCGACUCGCUGUUAGUAAGAUCAAGGAAGGGUGAGAGUGUUUUUCUUGCGACCAUUCUUAAUGGAUGAAAUACAGCUAGUUCUGUAUUAAUUACUGUGACUCGUUAACCGAGUUCAAUGGCCUCAAAUCAACUAACAAGGAUUCCCUCAGUAACUGCGAGUGAAGUGGGAAGAGCUCAAGCUUAAAAUCAGGGGCAAUCUAUGUCCUCGAAUUGUAGUUUUGUGAAUGACUCCAUGGUGAAGUCCUCGAUAUAAGUCCUCUGGAACGAGGUGCCAAAGAAGGUGAUAGCCCUGUGCAUGAUCGAGGAGUUAAUUCUUUGCCAGUAUGUUGUCAAUUCCUAGAGUCGGGUUGUUUGGGAGUACAGCCCAAAGUGAGAGGUAAAUUCCUUCUAAAGCUAAAUAAUGGCGAGAGACUGAUAGCGAACAAGUACCGUGAGGGAAAGAUGCAAAGAACUUUGAAAAGAGAGUUAAAAGUGCUUGAAAUUGUUAAAAGUGAAGCGAUUGAGCGCAGUACAUGCUGACCAUCAACUCAUUCAUUGUUGUGGUGUUGGAGUGGCGUUAUCGAGUGUCUCAAGUGGCAUCGUUGCGUUGUUUCCUUGGCAUCAUUUCAGUGGAGCAUUUUGGUUGUUAGUGAGUCAACAUCAGUGAAAGUAUUGAGUGGGAGAAUGGGGUGGAGGAGGUGACAUGCGGUCAGUCUCGGCUGAUUUUAGUGUGUGUUAAACUCUGCUCAGAUACCAUUCAUUUCACUGAGGCAACCUGUGGUUGAUAACUGGCGCCUUUUUUGGCGGGGUAAGAGUGGGACUGUCGAGUGUAGACGGUGAGGACAGCAUGCUGUGCUUGUUGAUCUAUGUUUUGUCAUUGCCUUGCUCUCCACCGUUUUCCAGUUAGAGAUGUUGACCGAAUGUUCUCAAUCGUCCCGUCUUGAAACACGGACCAAGGAGUCUAACAUAUGUGCGAGUAAUUGAGUGACAAACUUAGAUGCGCAAUGAAAGUAAUAGGGGUGGGAGUCUGAAAAGAUGCACCAUUGACCAAUUUUGAAAUUUUUGGAUAGAUUUGAGUUGUAGCAUAUAUGUUGGGACCCGAAAGAUUGCGAACUAUGCUUGCAUAGGGUGAAGCCAGGCGAAAGUCUGGUGGAGGCUCGUAGCGAUACUGACGUGCAAAUCGUUCGUCAAAUGUGGGUAUAGCGGCGAAAGACUAAUCGAGCAAUCUAGUAGCUGGUUUCCUC